rnacentral:misc_RNA from 1 species
AAGUCGUAACAAGGUUUCCGUAGGUGAACCUGCGGAAGGAUCAUUAUCACGUAUCCACGUAUAAACCAUUGUGAACUGUUUUUAAUCACCUUUGUUGGCGGAUGAAUGAAACUGAUAUGUUUUCUCUCCGGAGUUUGUGUCAGUGGAGUUUAUUACAGCCGCAAAGUGUAAUUUAACCUAUAUUAACCAUUUUAACCACAUCUUUAUAACUUUUAUGAACUAAUUUUUAUUUUAUACUCUUCGGAGAUAAAAUUCAUUACGAAACAAAGAACAACUCUUAGCAACGGAUAUCUUGGUUCUC